CUGGCCUCAAAAUCCUGACCUCAAGUGAUCCACCCACCUCAGCCUCCCAAAGUGCUGGGAUUAGAGGGAUGAUCCACCAUGCCCAGCCUGUUCUCAUGUCUCUCUGACUGAGCAUAUGAGCUCCAUGUGAAGCAUUUGCUCCCCCUUACCCCAUGUGAGCACAAAUAGCAUGGUGAAUUGCAGUGAGCUCUGUGACCCACGUACUGCCACCAGCCCCAUUUUAUAGAUGAGGAAACUGAGACUCAGGGAGGACAGGUUGGAAUCUGAUCUUGGGUCGGCCUCUAGAGCAAGCUUGCCCAACCCAUGGCCCGCAGGCUGCCUGUAGCCCAGGACGACUUUGAAUGCGGCCCAACACAAAUUUGUAAACUUUCUUACAAAACUAUGAGAUUUUUUGAGCCCCCACCCGACCGUUUUUUUUUUUUUAGCUCAUCAGCUAUCAUGUUAAUAUAUUUUAUGUGUGGCCCAAGACAAUUCUUCUUCUUCCAAUGUGGCUCUGGGAAGCCAAAAUAUUGGACACCCCUGUGAGCUUGCCCUCUUGCUUCCCCUGAGGACCUGAGAGCCCUGGGUCGCAGUUUCCUGUGGGGGUGCAUGGUGGUUUUGUUGGCUCAGAAGGAGCCCUCCCCACUGCCCCUGACAUUUGUGGGUCCCCGUCUCUGGCUGCAGCUUGGGAUCUGAGAGUUUGACGGUCACUGAUGCCUCCAGGUAACCCCUGCACCAUUUGUCUCCAGACCCAGCUUGACCAGUGGGGCUGUGGAAGCUGCAAGCUGCAGAUAAGAUGGGAGAGGAGGAUAAGGAAGAAUGUCACACAAUUCAAAGGAACGGCACAUGGAAUUACAUUCACGACGGACACAGACACAAAUAAUGAUGAUAAUGAGUGGGUAUCCUCUGACCUCUGCGCCUUGGCAGGCCUGAUGCGGAGUGUGUUUCAUGGAUCAUCUUACUGGAUCCAGACAGCAGCCGUAGGAGGCGGAUGAUGGUGGUUGGGGCUGUCUCAGCCUCCUGGACACUCAUGUCCUCCAGUGGGGUCAAGGGAGGGAGCAUCGAAGUUGAGAGUAACUGUCGGCCCCCGUGCUUGUAUUCUACACGGAUGCAUCUCCAAUCUCCUUCGCAGCUGCCUGGGUGUGAAGAUGCUCUGACCAUACCCAGGGCCGCAGAGUUCCUGUGGGAAGAGCCUGGAUACUUGAAUCGGACAGACUCAGGCCGGCAUCUGCCCUCUGCCUUGCCCUAGCCUUCCAUCUCAUCCCCAAGCCCUCGCAGCGGUAAAACAGCCCUUGUAUCACUGAGGCCUCCCCAGGCAGGGAUUCUCCCGGCUUGUUUACUCUGGAACCCUCCCCGUCUUGAAUCAAGUCAAUGCUCAAUAGACAUCUGUUGGAAGCGUGAACUAUUGAGCUGUUUGUGUGAACUACGGAGCUAUUAAAUGAGAUAAAAUGCGGUAAGGGCCUGUUACACAAUCAGGGCUUCAUAAACGAUCACAGCUGUAUUCAUAUAAAGCGCUUGGAACAGUGUCUGGAAAAUAGUACAAUUAAUAGUAAUUCAGGAUGUGAUGAUUAACUCUUCAGGCUUAUGAUACAAAUUCUGCAGUAACACUCACUCCUCUGGGCAUCUACCAUUUGCCAGGCAUCUUGUCAGGUGCUUUGCAAGCCAUCUUCCCAUUAGAUCUUCCUUGUGGCCUUGGGGGGCACUUGUAUUACCCCGUUUCACUGACUAGGAAACUAAGGUUCAGAGAUGCUAUGACUUACCCGUAAUUUUAUUUUUUUGUUUUUCAUUUUUCUGGAGACAGAGUCUAGCUCUGUCGCCCAGGCUGGAGUGCAGUGGUGCGGUCCUCACUGCAGCCUCCAACCUCUGGGCUCUAGUGAUCCUCCUACCUCAGCCUCCUGGGUAGCCAGGACUGCAGGCACACAUCAUUCCAUCUGGCUAUUUAAAAAUUUUUUUGUAGGGAUGCAGUCUCACUAUGUUGCCCAGGCUGGUCUCAAA
rnacentral:lncRNA from 13 species